rnacentral:rRNA from 1 species
UGGGGAAUUUUGGACAAUGGGCGAAAGCCUGAUCCAGCAAUGCCGCGUGUGUGAAGAAGGCCUUCGGGUUGUAAAGCACUUUUGUCCGGAAAGAAAUCCUUGGCUCUAAUACAGUCGGGGGAUGACGGUACCGGAAGAAUAAGCACCGGCUAACUACGUGCCAGCAGCCGCGGUAAUACGUAGGGUGCAAGCGUUAAUCGGAAUUACUGGGCGUAAAGCGUGCGCAGGCGGUUUGCUAAGACCGAUGUGAAAUCCCCGGCGUCAACCUGGAACUGCAUUGGUGACUGGCAGGCUAGAGUAUGGCAGAGGGGGGUAGAAUUCCACGUGUAGCAGUGAAAUGCGUAGAGAUGUGGAGGAAUACCGAUGGCGAAGGCAGCCCCCUGGGCCAAUACUGACGCUCAUGCACGAAAGCGUGGGGAGCAAACAGGAUUAGAUACCCUGGUAGUCCACGCCCUAAACGAUGUCAACUAGUUGUUGGGGAUUCAUUUCCUUAGUAACGUAGCUAACGCGUGAAGUUGACCGCCUGGGGAGUACGGUCGCAAGAUUAAAACUCAAAUGAAUUGACGGGGUCAUAGCUGUUUCCU